AGGGCGCACGGUGGAUGCCUUGGCACUAGAAGCCGAUGAAGGACGUUACUAACGACGAUAUGCUUUGGGGAGCUGUAAGUAAGCUUUGAUCCAGAGAUUUCCGAAUGGGGAAACCCAGCAUGAGUUAUGUCAUGUUAUCGAUAUGUGAAUACAUAGCAUAUCAGAAGGCACACCCGGAGAACUGAAACAUCUUAGUACCCGGAGGAAGAGAAAGAAAAUUCGAUUCCCUUAGUAGCGGCGAGCGAAACGGGAAGAGCCCAAACCAACAAGCUUGCUUGUUGGGGUUGUAGGACACUCUAUACGGAGUUACAAAGGACGACAUUAGACGAAUCAUCUGGAAAGAUGAAUCAAAGAAGGUAAUAAUCCUGUAGUCGAAAAUGUUGUCUCUCUUGAGUGGAUCCUGAGUACGACGGAGCACGUGAAAUUCCGUCGGAAUCUGGGAGGACCAUCUCCUAAGGCUAAAUACUCUCUAGUGACCGAUAGUGAACCAGUACCGUGAGGGAAAGGUGAAAAGCACCCCGGAAGGGGAGUGAAAUAGAACCUGAAACCGUGUGCUUACAAGUAGUCAGAGCCCGUUAAUGGGUGAUGGCGUGCCUUUUGUAGAAUGAACCGGCGAGUUACGAUUUGAUGCAAGGUUAAGCAGUAAAUGUGGAGCCGUAGCGAAAGCGAGUCUGAAUAGGGCGUUUAGUAUUUGGUCGUAGACCCGAAACCAGGUGAUCUACCCUUGGUCAGGUUGAAGUUCAGGUAACACUGAAUGGAGGACCGAACCGACUUACGUUGAAAAGUGAGCGGAUGAACUGAGGGUAGCGGAGAAAUUCCAAUCGAACCUGGAGAUAGCUGGUUCUCUCCGAAAUAGCUUUAGGGCUAGCCUCAAGUGAUGAUUAUUGGAGGUAGAGCACUGUUUGGACGAGGGGCCCCUCUCGGGUUACCGAAUUCAGACAAACUCCGAAUGCCAAUUAAUUUAACUUGGGAGUCAGAACAUGGGUGAUAAGGUCCGUGUUCGAAAGGGAAACAGCCCAGACCACCAGCUAAGGUCCCAAAAUAUAUGUUAAGUGGAAAAGGAUGUGGCGUUGCCCAGACAACUAGGAUGUUGGCUUAGAAGCAGCCAUCAUUUAAAGAGUGCGUAAUAGCUCACUAGUCGAGUGACACUGCGCCGAAAAUGUACCGGGGCUAAACAUAUUACCGAAGCUGUGGAUUGUCCUUUGGACAAUGGUAGGAGAGCGUUCUAAGGGCGUUGAAGCAUGAUCGUAAGGACAUGUGGAGCGCUUAGAAGUGAGAAUGCCGGUGUGAGUAGCGAAAGACGGGUGAGAAUCCCGUCCACCGAUUGACUAAGGUUUCCAGAGGAAGGCUCGUCCGCUCUGGGUUAGUCGGGUCCUAAGCUGAGGCCGACAGGCGUAGGCGAUGGAUAACAGGUUGAUAUUCCUGUACCACCUAUAAUCGUUUUAAUCGAUGGGGGGACGCAGUAGGAUAGGCGAAGCGUGCGAUUGGAUUGCACGUCUAAGCAGUAAGGCUGAGUAUUAGGCAAAUCCGGUACUCAUUAAGGCUGAGCUGUGAUGGGGAGAAGACAUUGUGUCUUCGAGUCGUUGAUUUCACACUGCCGAGAAAAGCCUCUAGAUAGAAAAUAGGUGCCCGUACCGCAAACCGACACAGGUAGUCAAGAUGAGAAUUCUAAGGUGAGCGAGCGAACUCUCGUUAAGGAACUCGGCAAAAUGACCCCGUAACUUCGGGAGAAGGGGUGCUCUUUAGGGUUAACGCCCAGAAGAGCCGCAGUGAAUAGGCCCAAGCGACUGUUUAUCAAAAACACAGGUCUCUGCUAAACCGUAAGGUGAUGUAUAGGGGCUGACGCCUGCCCGGUGCUGGAAGGUUAAGAGGAGUGGUUAGCUUCUGCGAAGCUACGAAUCGAAGCCCCAGUAAACGGCGGCCGUAACUAUAACGGUCCUAAGGUAGCGAAAUUCCUUGUCGGGUAAGUUCCGACCCGCACGAAAGGCGUAACGAUUUGGGCACUGUCUCAACGAGAGACUCGGUGAAAUCAUAGUACCUGUGAAGAUGCAGGUUACCCGCGACAGGACGGAAAGACCCCGUGGAGCUUUACUGUAGCCUGAUAUUGAAAUUCGGCACAGCUUGUACAGGAUAGGUAGGAGCCUUUGAAACGUGAGCGCUAGCUUACGUGGAGGCGCUGGUGGGAUACUACCCUAGCUGUGUUGGCUUUCUAACCCGCACCACUUAUCGUGGUGGGAGACAGUGUCAGGCGGGCAGUUUGACUGGGGCGGUCGCCUCCUAAAAGGUAACGGAGGCGCUCAAAGGUUCCCUCAGAAUGGUUGGAAAUCAUUCAUAGAGUGUAAAGGCAUAAGGGAGCUUGACUGCGAGACCUACAAGUCGAGCAGGGUCGAAAGACGGACUUAGUGAUCCGGUGGUUCCGCAUGGAAGGGCCAUCGCUCAACGGAUAAAAGCUACCCCGGGGAUAACAGGCUUAUCUCCCCCAAGAGUUCACAUCGACGGGGAGGUUUGGCACCUCGAUGUCGGCUCAUCGCAUCCUGGGGCUGUAGUCGGUCCCAAGGGUUGGGCUGUUCGCCCAUUAAAGCGGUACGCGAGCUGGGUUCAGAACGUCGUGAGACAGUUCGGUCCCUAUCCGUCGUGGGCGUAGGAAAUUUGAGAGGAGCUGUCCUUAGUACGAGAGGACCGGGAUGGACAUACCUCUGGUGUACCAGUUGUCGUGCCAACGGCAUAGCUGGGUAGCUAUGUGUGGACGGGAUAAGUGCUGAAAGCAUCUAAGCAUGAAGCCCCCC
rnacentral:rRNA from 1 species